GCGAGUAUGGCCCUCACGGGUCUAAUCCACCAUAAACACCUUUGUGAACCAGUCAGGGGGACUCGGCCGUGAAAGCCCAGGCGAUUAGCGGAAGGGCCCUCCUUUGCAAACCCGGUUAGAAGUCUUGAAAGUACUUUUGUAUAAUCUAGUA
rnacentral:misc_RNA from 1 species